GGUCCUCACUAAAGCAGUGUCUAGGAAAGACUACGCUAAGGUGGGGGAAGGCUCAUCUCAGGGUGUGGCCAUGCCUUCCACUUCUGGUGCCGGGCGUCGGUCCGCCAGAGCGCAGCACAUUGCGGUGCCGCUCGGGGCUGAUGACCUGGGGACGA
rnacentral:sRNA from 12 species